CGUAAAUUUAACGUAUAAAAUACGUUGCGUUUGCUUUUUGACUUACCACUUUUUGCGCGACGGACGUAUCCAUAACUAGAACUUAGAAAGACAUAGGCUCGUACUAUAAAAUCGCGGCAGAUGCGCCCAACGGUCACACUUUACUAACAUCUCAUCGAGAAGACGUGGCAACCAUGAAUUACCUGAUAAUCUUCGCUUUAGCGGCGGUGGCAGCUGAUCGACUCGACAAAGACCUGUACCUUCCCCCCCACGCUGGGUCUUCAGGAGGAGCCAGCGCAGGACUCCAAGGCCCACGAAACUCUGCUGGUAGUCACCAGGCUCUCACUGGAAGCCAAUCUGGCCAGCCGGCUGAAAUCUUGAGAUAUGACAAUGAGAUUAAUGAAGAUGGAUACCAUUACGCUUUUGAGACCAGCGAUGGAACGAAAGCUGAGCAGGAAGGUCAGGUUGUGCCCGGAGCUAAACCAGAGGAAGGUUCUAUAAACGUGAAAGGCUCUUUCUCCUACGUCGGUGAUGAUGGACAAACUUACUCAGUGUCUUAUACCGCUGAUGAGAACGGCUUCAGGCCUGAGGGAGCUCAUCUGCCGACCGCGCCCCCGAUACCAGAGGAAAUCUUGAAGAGUUUACAGCUUACAGACACGAAGAGAGAUCAGUACAGCAGCCAAAAGAGCAGUUACGACGCUGACGCCGGAUACUAAUCUGUGUUCAUUUGACAACUCUCACGAGAUUUCGUUGUUGACAGCUGUCAAGCCUCGCCAUAUUUAACACCGUAUUAAACUUAGGUAUUUAAAAUUUGUUUAUGGAACAUGAACGAUGACAUGCUAAUGUAAUUUAGUUUUUAGUUCGUUCGUCUUAGCGUCUUAUGUCCUGUAAGAGAUAAUCAAAAUUAUUAUUUAAUUACUGGCAACACGAAAUGUGUGGCGCGCGAAUACUUUAAUAAAUAAGUCUAUUGAAUAGAUUUCAUUUAGUUAUAAUAACCAAAUUAUGAUUGGUGGAACAAAGUGUGGCAAUAGUAAGCCAGUGGAUGUUUCCAAAAUAUGUUUUUGGGUGUUCAUUGAGACGGUCAUAAUGUAUGUUACGUAUCCGACACCAAAAGUAAACUACAAUUUGAUUAAAAUAAAUGCAUCGCAAAUUAUAGUCAUUUGUGAAUCGCGAGCCUUUUAAACAUUUCUUAACGUUGACAACUCCCUGAUUUUGGCAGCUAAUAAAACUAUUAUUCCACAUUCAAAAUAACGUAAUCAAAACUUAUUACCACAGCUAAAUAUUCUACGAGUAUUUGAACGCGAUAAAAAGGACGAUGGUUUGCGCGCAAAAAAAAUACCCGAUCCUGUAGAACGAAUGGUAAACAGCUGAACGUCGCCCUAAACGCGUCAUUACGGAUCCUCCCGAUCCAUUAACGGUGCUUUUAGGUACCACAAGCACCGGUCGCCGUCCAGUGUUAGCAACACUCCCGGUUAGAGCCCCGUGAGCUCACCUACACGUCAAAGAGGAGCUGAAAUAGCCUCUCAAGGCUAUCAACAUAGGUAGGAAAAAAAGUGCAAAAAUAAUCUUUAGCUUAUAAAUUUGAGACGCGAAAUACACAGGAAAGUUGGUCAUCGGGUAUUGUUUUUAGUAAUAACCACUUAAUUACAAAGCUCAUUAAUUAAUCAGUCCGGUAACUAAAUACAAUAGCUAUAGAGCUAUCAGACAAUCAUUUUGUUUUCUGUUUUGGCGUUUGUCCAUACGUCUAUUAAAACAUUUUUCUCGGGCGCCACUAGAGAUGCCAAGUUGAAUUUAACAUAAAUACUGCGCUCAUGUGGACCUAUGGUGAAUCAUGAAGGAUUUAACUCAACCUAAACACUUUAUAUACCUACGUCACUUAGAUUAUAUAUUUUAUAGUUUCUAUAUCUCGUCAUGCGGAUUUAUUCCAAUUUGUUCUGAAAACAGAUUUUUUUCAGACACAGGUAAAUGCCAUAAAUAUAUUUGUUUUUUUUUUAUUACAAACAUACAUAAUAUGCGAUUUAUACGCAUUUACACGUUUGAGAGAACACAAUCAAUAGAAGUAAUAAUUAAUCCCGCCCACAGCUGCGUCCGCGAGAACUUUGAUGUUCCUACAGACAAUGGACUCCACUGCUUUAUUGCAUGUAGGUAUAAUGAUGAUUUGUUCGGAAAAAUAAUUAGGACUGUCUCAAUAGAACAUCCACUUACUUUUUAUGUUUUGAAACACAUAAUUUAUUGUUUAUCUAUGUUCAUAUUAAGAACUAAGUAAUUAUUGUUACUUUAAAUUUGAAUGACGUAAUGUUUGUUAUUAUAACCGGCUUACCAAGCCCGGAUAGGGUUAUCUGCCAACGAAUGCCAAUCUUGAUUUAAAUAUGGAGUAAGUUCUUUACAGAAUUUACAUAUUUUUAUUAAAAAAAAAAACUUAGUCGCAUUACUAUCGGCCAAAUAAUUAUUAAUAAUUAUAAAUAUUACAAAAAUACGGCCAGUUAAUUAUUGUAUAAUGGUUAUUUAUAUUCUAUAAUUAUUUUUUAUUUUGAAUUAUUCAAUAAAUAUAAUGAAGA